GAUGAACGCUAGCGGCAGGCCUAACACAUGCAAGUCGAGGGGUAGCAGGAUUAAGCUUGCUUAAUUGCUGACGACCGGCGCACGGGUGCGUAACGCGUAUGCAACCUACCUUAUACUGGGGCAUAGCCCGGAGAAAUUCGGAUUAAUCCCCCAUAGUACUAAUGAAUCGCAUGGUUUAUUAGUUAAAGCAUUGCGGUAUAAGAUGGGCAUGCGUACUAUUGGCUAGAUGGUGAGGUAACGGCUCACCAUGGCUACGAUAGGUAGGGGGCCUGAGAGGGUGUGCCCCCACACGGGUACUGAGACACGGACCAGACUCCUGCGGGAGGCAGCAGUGAGGAUUAUUGGUCAAUGGGCGCAAGCCUGAACCAGCCAUGCCGCGUGCAGGAAGAAUGCCCUAUGGGUUGUAAACUGCUUUGAUUUGGGAAUAAACCUCUUUACGUGUAGAGAGCUGAAGGUACCAAAUGAAUAAGCACCGGCUAACUCCGUGCCAGCCGCCGCCGUAA
rnacentral:rRNA from 1 species